rnacentral:rRNA from 1 species
UACGUAGGGCGCAAGCGUUAUCCGGAAUUAUUGGGCGUAAAGAGCUCGUAGGCGGUUUGUCGCGUCUGCCGUGAAAGUCCGGGGCUUAACCCCGGAUCUGCGGUGGGUACGGGCAGACUAGAGUGCAGUAGGGGAGACUGGAAUUCCUGGUGUAGCGGUGAAAUGCGCAGAUAUCAGGAGGAACACCGAUGGCGAAGGCAGGUCUCUGGGCAUUAACUGACGCUGAGGAGCGAAAGCAUGGGGAGCAAACAGG